rnacentral:lncRNA from 1 species
AGGGAAGAAGCCGCAGUAGGAGCCCCUACGUAGGCCCUGCAAGAGGCCUGGCGUUCAGGAAAGGGCCCGCUGACCAUCCAGUGCAGGGAAAGGAGUCCAGCUCUGGCCUCUGCCCCUCAGCUCCACCUCCUGCAUUCCUAGGAGUUCUCCAGAGGAUCUGAUGGGAGCUCAGAACCGGUCCCAACAGCUCCCUCCACCCUUCAUGAACGGGGGCUGGAAAAUGUGGUCUGCUCUGAUAAGGAUUUGCGUCAGGCUACUGGCUACUCAGCAGCCGAGAAGAGCAAGCCUCCAGGCCUCUGCACGCGUGCCUUCUGCCCGAGACGAUGGAUUCAUGGAGUUACUGUGAGGAAGACACUCAGCAUCGUGCCUGGUAUCGUGUGUGCUUCAUAAACGCCAGCCAUAGCAUGAUUCUUUAUAAAGGCACCAGCUGCA